CCUACGGUGUGCUGCAGUGGGGAAUAUUGGACAAUGGGCGAAAGCCUGAUCCAGCCAUGCCGCGUGUGUGAAGAAGGCCUUCGGGUUGUUAAGCACUUUCAGUGGGGAAGAAAGCCUUGGGGCUAAUACCCUCGAGGAAGGACAUCACCCACAGAAGAAGCACCGGCUAACUCCGUGCCAGCAGCCGCGGUAAUACGGAGGGUGCGAGCGUUAAUCGGAAUUACUGGGCGUAAAGCGCGCGUAGGCGGUCUGAUAAGCCGGUUGUGAAAGCCCCGGGCUCAACCUGGGAACGGCAUCCGGAACUGUCAGGCUAGAGUGCAGGAGAGGAAGGUAGAAUUCCCGGUGUAGCGGUGAAAUGCGUAGAGAUCGGGAGGAAUACCAGUGGCGAAGGCGGCCUUCUGGACUGACACUGACGCUGAGGUGCGAAAGCGUGGGUAGCAAACAGGAUUAGAUACCCCGGUAGUC
rnacentral:rRNA from 1 species